rnacentral:rRNA from 1 species
UGCAAGUCGAGCGGAACGAGUUAUCUGAACCUUCGGGGAACGAUAACGGCGUCGAGCGGCGGACGGGUGAGUAAUGCCUAGGAAAUUGCCCUGAUGUGGGGGAUAACCAUUGGAAACGAUGGCUAAUACCGCAUAAUGCCUACGGGCCAAAGAGGGGGACCUUCGGGCCUCUCGCGUCAGGAUAUGCCUAGGUGGGAUUAGCUAGUUGGUGAGGUAAUGGCUCACCAAGGCGACGAUCCCUAGCUGGUCUGAGAGGAUGAUCAGCCACACUGGAACUGAGACACGGUCCAGACUCCUACGGGAGGCAGCAGUGGGGAAUAUUGCACAAUGGGCGCAAGCCUGAUGCAGCCAUGCCGCGUGUGUGAAGAAGGCCUUCGGGUUGUAAAGCACUUUCAGUCGUGAGGAAGGUAGUGUAGUUAAUAGCUGCAUUAUUUGACGUUAGCGACAGAAGAAGCACCGGCUAACUCCGUGCCAGCAGCCGCGGUAAUACGGAGGGUGCGAGCGUUAAUCGGAAUUACUGGGCGUAAAGCGCAUGCAGGUGGUUUGUUAAGUCAGAUGUGAAAGCCCGGGGCUCAACCUCGGAAUUGCAUUUGAAACUGGCAGACUAGAGUACUGUAGAGGGGGGUAGAAUUUCAGGUGUAGCGGUGAAAUGCGUAGAGAUCUGAAGGAAUACCGGUGGCGAAGGCGGCCCCCUGGACAGAUACUGACACUCAGAUGCGAAAGCGUGGGGAG